UUGUACCUCAUAUGUGUUCAAUUGAGAUUGUUCCACACUGUGAGUGUUCGUACAUGUCUCUUGUUCUUCAGCACUAAAGGUCUCGUCAGCUUGCUACUGGAAACAAUCUGUGUAGAAAAAACACACACACACACACCAGACAAUGUCACGGAGUAAAAAUGGCUUCAAAACAUGGAUGUUUAGGAUCUUUGGUGGUCUUACCUGUCCCAGCGAGCACUCGAACUCACCCAGGAAGUCGUCAUCGCUCAAGUCAACGGUUUUAUUGUCAAUAUCGUAAACCCCGAAUCUGAGUUUCUGAACAACCUCGAAGUAGUAAUCGACAACAAACUUCUUGGCAAAUUUGGGGUUCAAGCAGUUCUUAACCCUCUCAGUGCGAUCGACCUAGGAAACAAAACAUUCCCAUUCCCAAAUAUGCCCAGGCAUCCGCAUAGAUAUCUGAACUAUGUGCACAACAAGUGACCUGACCUCAAACCACUGGUUUCCCGAUGUGUUCAUGAGCAGGACACACAGCGGGUCAGAUUUGGAGCACACAUCCAUGUCCAGCAGGUUUUCACAGGAGACUGUCAGCUCCACCUUGGUCACACACGACGCAGCCAUUGGACUGAUCUGUUUACAUGGAAACUUGAUAAAAGCUUUUGGAAAAAUAACAGCACUUUCUAUGCCACAAACUGGUAGAUAAUCAUAGGAACAUUCCAGUGGUUUCAGUAUUUCCCUUUGUGCUUGAUAACAUUGCAUGUUGUGGCCUCUGUAACCACUAUUUAAUCAGGCCAAGCUGCAAUAUAGAUAUAUAUCACUGACUUAAUUUCUUAGGGUUAGUAAAUUGCACCUAGACAUGUACCGGUUGAAAACACUUUGACAGAGCUAGUUUUAGUUUCCCACGCUACUUAUCUGUUUAAUUAGCCUAACUUGUCAGAACACAUUCUGAUUGAAUCAGACCGGUUCUGUAUUUAAAGAAUGACAUGUGUUUAGUUUAGAAUCAAUAAUGGAUUUUUUUUAAUUUCGUUGAUGUUGCUUUGUUUUAAAUAGUCGUUUAUGAUGAACUAAUAAUAGUGGCUUGCAUUUGCUCUGCUCAAAUAAAUUCAUAGCAGACUCUGAUUUAGGUCAUAUCUCAUUUGUACUCUGUACAGUCUAUACUAUAUUCAUUUGUACUCCGUAAUGUUGCUCGUUUGUUUUGUUUUUUCAAAGCCCAUUU